GACGAACGCUGGCGGCGUGCUUAACACAUGCAAGUCGAACGGAAAGGCCCUGCUUGCAGGGUACUCGAGUGGCGAACGGGUGAGUAACACGUGGGUGAUCUGCCCUGCACUUCGGGAUAAGCCUGGGAAACUGGGUCUAAUACCGGAUAGGAGCCAUUUUUAGUGUGAUGGUUGGAAAGUUUUUUCGGUGUAGGAUGAGCUCGCGGCCUAUCAGCUUGUUGGUGGGGUAAUGGCCUACCAAGGCGGCGACGGGUAGCCGGCCUGAGAGGGUGGACGGCCACAUUGGGACUGAGAUACGGCCCAGACUCCUACGGGAGGCAGCAGUGGGGAAUAUUGCACAAUGGGAGCAAGCCUGAUGCAGCGACGCCGCGUGGGGGAUGACGGCCUUCGGGUUGUAAACUCCUUUCGCUAGGGACGAAGCUUUUUGUGACGGUACCUAGAUAAGAAGCACCGGCUAACUACGUG
rnacentral:rRNA from 1 species